rnacentral:rRNA from 1 species
UGGGGAAUUUUGGACAAUGGGCGAAAGCCUGAUCCAGCAAUGCCGCGUGUGUGAAGAAGGCCUUCGGGUUGUAAAGCACUUUUGUCCGGAAAGAAAUGGCUCUGGUUAAUACCUGGGGUCGAUGACGGUACCGGAAGAAUAAGGACCGGCUAACUACGUGCCAGCAGCCGCGGUAAUACGUAGGGUCCAAGCGUUAAUCGGAAUUACUGGGCGUAAAGCGUGCGCAGGCGGUUGUGCAAGACCGAUGUGAAAUCCCCGAGCUUAACUUGGGAAUUGCAUUGGUGACUGCACGGCUAGAGUGUGUCAGAGGGGGGUAGAAUUCCACGUGUAGCAGUGAAAUGCGUAGAGAUGUGGAGGAAUACCGAUGGCGAAGGCAGCCCCUGGGAUAACACUGACGCUCAUGCACGAAAGCGUGGGGAGCAAACAGG